rnacentral:misc_RNA from 1 species
GAUGAAGAACGUAGCGAAAUGCGAUAAGUAAUGUGAAUUGCAGAAUUCCGUGAAUCAUCGAAUCUUUGAACGCAUAUUGCGCCCUCUGGUAUUCCGGGGGGCAUGCCUGUCCGAGCGUCAUUUGCAACCCUCAAGCCCGGCUUGUGUGAUGGGUGCCGUCCCCUACGGGACGCGCCCCGAAGGCAAUGGCGGCGUCGCGGUUAUCCGAUCAGCCAAAGUGUAUGGGGCUUUGUCACUCACUUUACGGCCCGGACCGGCGCCAGUCCGAAUCAAUCUUUUUUCUAAAGUUGACCUCGGAUCAGGUAGGGAUACCCGCUGAACUUAAGCAUAUCAAUAAGCGGAGGA